CGCGUGGUUCUAUUUUGUUGGUUUUUAGAACCGCCGUAAUGAUUAAUAGGGACAGUCGGGGGCAUCUGUAUUCAAUUGUCAGAGGUGAAAUUCUUGGAUCUAUUGAAGACAAACUACUGCGAAAGCAUUUGCCAAGUAUGUUUUCAUUGAUAAGGAACGAAAGUUAGGGGAUCGAAGACGAUCAGAUACCGUCGUAGUCUUAACUAUAAACUAUGCCGACUAGGGAUCGGACGAUGUUAUUUUUUGACUCGUUCGGCACCUUUCGAGAAAUCAAAGUGCUUGGGCUCCAGGGGGAGUAUGGUCGCAAGGCUGAAACUUAAAGAAAUUGACGGAAGGGCACCACCAGGGGUGGAACCUGCGGCUUAAUUUGACUCAACACGGGGAAACUCACCAGGUCCAGACACAGUGAGGAUUGACAGAUUGAUAGCUCUUUCUUGAUUCUGUGGGUGGUGGUGCAUGGCCGUUCUUAGUUGGUGGAGUGAUUUGUCUGCUUAAUUGCGAUAACGAACGAGACCUUAACCUGCUAAAUAGCCCGUUCUGCUCCGGCAGUACGCUGGCUUCUUAGAGGGACUAUCGGCUCAAGCCGAUGGAAGUUUGAGGCAAUAACAGGUCUGUGAUGCCCUUAGAUGUCCUGGGCCGCACGCGCGUUACACUGACAAAGCCAGCGAGUAUUUCCUUAGCCGGAAGGCUUGGGUAAUCUUGUUAAACUUUGUCGUGC
rnacentral:rRNA from 1 species